rnacentral:rRNA from 1 species
UACGUAGGCAGCAAGCGUUGUUCGGAAUUACUGGGCGUAAAGAGUGUGUAGGCGGUGCUCUAAGUCUGUCGUGAAAUCUCCCGGCUUAACUGGGAGGGUGCGGCGGAAACUGGAAUGCUAGAGGGUGGGAGAGGAAAGCGGAAUUCCCGGUGUAGUGGUGAAAUGCGUAGAUAUCGGGAGGAACACCCGUAGCGAAGGCGGCCGACUGGACCACACCUGACGCUGAGGCGCGAAGGCCAGGGGAGCGAACGGG